rnacentral:rRNA from 1 species
CGGGAGGCAGCAGUGGGGAAUCUUGCGCAAUGGGGGAAACCCUGACGCAGCAACGCCGCGUGGGUGAUGAAGGCCUUCGGGUCGUAAAGCCCUGUCAGGUGGAAAGAACAGUGGCGACGUAAAUAACUUCGCCAUUUGACGGUACCACCAGAGGAAGCACCGGCUAACUCCGUGCCAGCAGCCGCGGUAAUACGGAGGGUGCAAGCGUUGUUCGGAAUUAUUGGGCGUAAAGCGUGCGCAGGCGGCCGCGUAAGCCAGAGGUGAAAUCCCCGGGCUCAACCUGGGAAUGGCCUUUGGGACUGUGUGGCUGGAGUGCGGCAGAGGGGGGUGGAAUUCCUGGUGUAGCAGUGAAAUGCGUAGAGAUCAGGAGGAACACCGAUGGCGAAGGCAGCCCCCUGGGCCAGCACUGACGCUCAGGCACGAAAGCGUGGGGAGCAAACAGGAUUAGAUACCCUGGUAGUCCACGCCCUAAACGAUGACGACUAGUUGUUGGGGGAGUCUAUCCCUUAGUAACGUAGCUAACGCGUGAAGUCGUCCGCCUGGGGAGUACGGUCGCAAGAUUAAAACUCAAAGGAAUUGACGG